rnacentral:rRNA from 1 species
AUACAGAGGGUGCAAGCGUUGUUCGGAAUUAUUGGGCGUAAAGCGCGUGUAGGCGGGAUGGUGUGUCGGGUGUGAAAGCCCUCAGCUCAACUGAGGAAGUGCGCCCGAAACUGCCGUUCUUGAGUGUCGGAGAGGGUGACGGAAUUCCCGGUGUAGAGGUGAAAUUCGUAGAUAUCGGGAGGAACACCAGUGGCGAAGGCGGUCACCUGGACGAACACUGACGCUGAGACGCGAAAGCGUGGGUAGCAAACAGGAUUAGAUACCCUGGUAGUCCACGCCGUAAACGAUGAGUGCUAGCUGUUGCGGGUGUUGACCCCUGCAGUGGCGAAGCUAACGCAUUAAGCACUCCGCCUGGGAAGUACGGCCGCAAGGCUAAA